ensembl:lncRNA novel transcript
AAAUUAGCCAGGCGUGGUGGUUGGCACCUGUAAUCCCAGCUACUCGGGAAGCUGAGGCAGGAGAAUUGCUUGAACCUGGGAGGCGGAGGUUGCAGUGAGCUGAGAUCGCACCACUGCACUCCAGCCUGGGCAACAGAGCGAGACUCCGUCUCAAAACAAAAACAAAAACAACCCUACAUAUUAGGUACUAUGCUCACUAAUUGGGUGAUAAGGUCAAUAGAAGCCCAACCCUCAGCAUCAUGCAAUAUAUCCAUGUAACUCAUCUGCACAUGUACACCCUGAAUCUAAACUAAAAGUAAAAAAAUGCCCUGGCCACAUAGCAGAUAUGCUGACAUUUCUACCAUCAGACCAAGUGUUUUCGCUGUCAUAUAUUGCAUAUUAAAUCACUGCAGUGAAAUUUUGUUUUUGUGUAAAUUUUUGUGCGUGGAAAGGGUCCAUAGCUUUCACUAGCCUCCUAAAUGGGGUUGAUGAUGCUAAAAAGUUGAAAGCCAGUACUUUAGAGUUGAAAAGUUGGAUUCAAUGAUGGGAAUAGAUUGAUUGUUUCCAAAAGGGUUCUCUUAAUAUGUCUGAAUAGUAAUUGCUGUGCUUCUUUGUGUAGUAAAAUUCUUAAUGUGGCCUGAUAGCUGUACAGAACAUUUGAGAUUGGGACUGAAAAUCUUGGACAUAUGUCCCUCGGUAGCCAUUAGAUUAUCUAAUUGCCAUUAGUGUUAAGGUGAGCAUAAAGCAAAUUAUUAACUGCAUGGCCCUAAGAAAGUCACCUUAUCUCAUGGGAUCUGUUACCUCAUUUAUAAGACAUUUUUAAAAGGAGGAAUGUGACCUUGAAGAUUUCCAAAACUCCUAGUUUGGAUUCUCUAGAAAAGUGAGAUCAAUGCUGGACUUGGAUGGAGCCCUUUUGUGGCAGAAAUGAACCAGGCUUUGCAUAGAAGGAAAAAGACAGAGUGUCCAAAUGAGGAAGAGGCCCAGAGGAUCCAAGAAGCCUCUUCCUCCAUAAAUGGGAAACACAAGCCUGCUGUGGCAAAGAGCCAGUGUAAUCAGGGCAGGAUGAGGGCUACUGUGACACUUUUUAACAUCCAGGACUCUGAGGGAACAGAGGCUCAACCUCUACUUUUCACCCUGGGACUGACUUGCCAGAACACAAGUUGUCCCUCAGUGAGUGAAUACACCAUCUCGCCUGCACUAAGAACUUCUGAUUCUCAUAGGAGAAAAUGCUUUGGGUCUUCCCACUUUCCACAUCAGCUGGCUUGGCUGUGUCUGGAAAAUGCUGCUCUCCAAGUGCCUGAAGGCACAAGUCCCAUUCCAGGAGGCUUUUCAUAUAGAAGAUGAGUGGACACCAACUAGAGACACUGGAGCAAGGGCCCCACAGUGUGACAUUUGGUUGUCUCUUGAUGGGGGAGGGAAAGUGUGCUUUUGUGUACAAGUAUGAGAUAGGUGGAUUCUAUCAUGUGGAGGAUAUUGCUUCUCAGCCUUUUGGCUAAGAUCAAGUGUAGUAUCAUGAGGAGUUUUCUUCGAAAUUGUGGAUUUCCACUUAUGUAACUAGUGGUGCUAUUAUGUGCCCAGCACGAAGGUAUGUAAAUGUUGCAUUAAAACCUUCUUGAGGUGGCCGGGCGCAGUGGCUCACACCUGUAAUCCCAGCACUUUGAGAGGCCAAGACAGGCAGAUCACAAGGUCAGGAGUUCGAGACCAGCCAGACCAACAUGAUGAAACCCCGUCUGUACUAAAAAUACAAAAAUUAGCCAGGCAUGGUGGCGGGUGCCUAUAAUCCCGCUACUCGGGAGGCUGAGGCAGGAGAAUCACUUAAACAUGGGAGGCGGAGGUUGCAGUGAGCCGAGAUUGUGCCACUGCACUCCAGCCUAGGCAACAGAGUGAGACUCCAUCUCAAAAAAAAAAAAAAAAAAAAAAAAGAAAACCUUCUUGAGGUGUUUGCCAUCUCACAAUGUAUUUAUUUCAAAGUGAUGCCAAGGAGCUAUAAUAAAGUGUACUUAUGAUGACAUAUGAUCUGACAAAGCACUUAUUUGUGUGAAAUGUCUUUCAAACACAAUACAAAUUAAAGACUAUUUAGUUCUA